rnacentral:rRNA from 1 species
UACGUAGGGUGCAAGCGUUGUCCGGAAUUAUUGGGCGUAAAGAGCUUGUAGGCGGUUUGUCGCGUCUGCUGUGAAAUUUCGGGGCUCAACCCCGAACUUGCAGUGGGUACGGGCAGACUAGAGUACUGCAGGGGAGACUGGAAUUCCUGGUGUAGCGGUGGAAUGCGCAGAUAUCAGGAGGAACACCGGUGGCGAAGGCGGGUCUCUGGGCAGUAACUGACGCUGAGAAGCGAAAGCGUGGGGAGCGAACAGG